rnacentral:rRNA from 1 species
AUAAACGCUGGCGGUGUACAUAAGACAUGCAAGUCGAACGGGAGAAACUAAGAUGGAUUUAUUCAACUUAGCAGACACCGUGGCGGAUGGGUGAGUAACACGUAAGCAACCUGCCUAAAAGAGGGGAAUAACAGAGAGAAAUUUCUGAUAAUACCGCAUAUACCAAAGUAUCGCAUGGUACAAUUGGGAAAGAUUUAUCACUUUUAGAUGGGCUUGCGUCUGAUUAGCUAGUUGGUGAGAUAAUAGCUCACCAAGGCGACGAUCAGUAGCCGGAUUGAGAGGUUGAACGGCCACAUUGGGACUGAGACACGGCCCAGACUCCUACGGGAGGCAGCAGUCGGGAAUAUUGCACAAUGGAGGAAACUCUGAUGCAGUGACACCGCGUAUAGGAAGAAGGCCUUAGGGUUGUAAGCUAUUGUCGUGUGAGAAGAAAAUGACUAUCACAGGAGGAAGCCCUGGCUAAAUAUGUGCCAGCAGCCGCGGUAAUACAUAUGGGGCGAGCGUUAUCCGGAUUUAUUGGGUGUAAAGGGUUCGUAGGCGGGAAAGUAAGUCAGUAUGUGAAAUCCCUCGGCUCAACCGAGGAACUGCGAUUGAAACUAUUUUUCUUGAGUACUGGAGGGGAAAGUGGAAUUCUUAGUGUAGCGGUGAAAUGCGUAGAUAUUAGGAAGAACACCAGUGGCGAAGGCGACUUUCUGGACAGUAACUGACGCUGAGGAACGAAAGUGUGGGGAGCAAACAGGAUUAGAUACCCUGGUAGUCCACACUGUAAACGAUGGAUACUAGGGGUUGGCAUAGGAAAUGUCGGUCCCGCAGUUAACGCAUUAAGUAUCCCACCUGGGGAGUACGACCGCAAGGUUAAAACUCAAAGGAAUUGACGGGGGCCCGCACAAGCAGUGGGGUAUGUGGUUUAAUUCGACGCAACGCGAAGAACCUUACCAGGGCUUGACAUGAUUAGGAAUAUAUAAGAGAUUAUAUAGCUCUACGGAGUCUAAUUACAGGUGGUGCAUGGUUGUCGUCAGCUCGUGUCGUGAGAUGUUGGGUUAAGUCCCUAAACGAGCGCAACCCUUAUCGCUAGUUGCUAACAUUAAGUUGAGGACUCUAGUGAGACUGCCGUUUAUUAAAACGGAGGAAGGAGAGGAUGACGUCAAAUCAUCAUGCCCUUUAUGUCCUGGGCUACACACGUACUACAAUGGGUAGGACAAAGGGAAGCAACGGAGUGAUCCUGAGCAAAACCCAAAACCUAUUCACAGUUCGGAUUGAAGGCUGAAAUUCGCCUUCAUGAAGCCGGAAUUGCUAGUAAUGGCAGGUCAGCAUACUGCCGUGAAUACGUUCCCGGGCCUUGUACACACCGCCCGUCACACCAUGAGAGUUGGGAAUACCCGAAGCCUGUGAGCUAACUUUUAGAGGCAGCAGUCGAAGGUAGAAUCAAUGAUUGGGGUG